rnacentral:sRNA from 1 species
GCCAGGUAUGGUGGCACAUGCCUGUAAUCCCAGUAACUUUGGUGGCUGAGGCAAGAGGAUUGCAAGUUCGAGGCCAGCCUCAGCAAAUUAGUGAGACCCUGUCUCAA